ensembl:lncRNA
CACUGAUGGAGUGCUGAGGUUUAGAGGGUCUACACCAGAAGCUAAUGGUUAUAGGAGGAAGGUAUAUAGUGUGUGCAAUUAAGCUUGGAAUGUGUUGAGUGCAGCGAAGUGAAAUACAUGUGGCAGGUAUUGAUGAAGGGAGAGAGCCGUGGAUAACUGAUGGAAGGGGGUUGAGGUCAAGUCAGGUCACCUUAAGGGAGAAAUAUAAGUUUAUGGUCCGUAUCUCUAGUGUCCUGCCUAGCAGAUGUUAGGGUGAUGUUGCUGUUAAGCUACUGCGUAUCUAGUUUUGGUUGUGUUUAUUUGUGUGUGUAUAGUAUAAAGUAACUCUUUGAAAAGUCAACAAGUUUAUUUGAUCAAUUAAUCACAAGAGUUCUCAUAUUUGAAAUAGCUGUGCUGUAGUUACCUAUAUUUUCAGUAAGUUUAAUGUACGGUGGACCACAUGGACAGCCCCUUAGUGGUCAAUGAAAAUAAGGUUAUUUUCUUCAGCGUCACUAGUGAUCUGUCACAACAUCACUCGUGAGUCUCCAUAUCCUCCUCUGUAGGUUUUUCUGUGUCCUACCAAACACACAUCAGUUUUCUCACAUGACAAUCUAUGUGUGGAGUUCACUUCACUGACGGAAGAAAGUGGAAAAUAUGUAUUUUUCUUUUAUUCUUCUCAUUUAUGCUGCCGGUGUUGCGGUUAAAGAAAGUUGUGCAGAUUUGGUUCCCACUCCCACUAUUGUAUUUUCCCCUGGGUACAUCAAUGUAGCUACACCUGUUACAAUACGCUGUGAGUCACCAAAAGGCACAGAGUGCAAAUUCUACAAAGAUCACGACCCCAACCCUAUAAGGAAACUGGAUUACAAGCAGGGUGCUUGCCAGUUCAAGUUGUUCUGGAAUGAGUUCAAAAGGUGGAACAAGACUGAAGUAGAUCUCAGCUGUGUAAUUCUACAGAACAGAGAAGGUGAAACGAUCAAAACCUCAAAACCUAGUGAUGCUCAAAGACUUAAUGUGGGUGACAAUGUCUGUUUGGGGAGAGUGGCAGAAGAGGAACUGCUGUGGAAGAGGAGCAGUGCUGGAGAGAUCUUCAUCACCUGUGCUGUGGAGCUGGUGGUAGAGGGUGAAGAUACUGUGACAUCACAGCAUAGUGAACCCCUCGGUAUCACCAUAGAUGGAGCUACUAGUUCCCCAUCAACGUUCAGUUUAAUCACAACUGUUCAGGAGAAGACAAGCAGCAAUGUCACAGACCAAGGAAGAGGUACAAAGUUCCACGUCGUCAUCAGUCUGGGUACUUGUUCCCUUUUCCUGGUUCUGCUAGCUGGGUGUGUGCUGGGUGUUCUCCAACGCAAGUGUGGGGUUCAAGGCAGGCCUGUAAAUACUGGAAGCCCACCUGAACAGCAAGACCAAACCCCACCAUGUGUCUAUUCUGUCAUCACAAAGCCUUCUAGGGAUGAGGAAGAGGACACUAGUCUGCAAUACGCUACAGUGACAUAUACCGGUGACCAAGCUAGUUGUCAAUAUGCAACAGUGACAUCUACCGGUAACCAAGUUGAACCUGGGCGCACCAAGAUCAAGUUUGAAAUAGCUGGAGAGUACGCCCUCUUAGCAGAAUCAUAGAAGAAGAAACAUUUACUGGAUAACAUGUUUUGCCAUAGUUUACAGUUACAAUCCUAUAUUUUGUUUUCAUAUUGGAUCAUAAUUUACUCAUAGUACAAAAACAUAUCCUGCCACAAAAUCAAAGACUAAAGAUAUCUACUCCUUUCUGAAAACAAGCAUCUUCAACUAUUUGCAUUUUAGGUUAAAUGAAAUAAAUGAAAAGUACACUGUCUGAAACAUAAAAUAAAUGUUUUCCUUAAUUGAGUUACCGAAUCUAGUCAGCAGUCACCAAUCAGUAGUCACCAAUCUAUUUCACUCCUUGACAAGAGUCAAUAUAGACUCAAACCCACAAGAGGGUAGAACACAUGUCAAACUUUGCUUGUUACAUCUCUACAUCUCUCUCUCUACAUCUCUCUCUUUAACCAUGUCUGGUGUAUAUUAGUUUUCAGUGGUGGAAAAAGUACUCAACAAACAUACUUAAGUAAAAGUAAAGACACCUUCAUAGAAAAUGACUCAAGUAAUAGUAAAAAUCACCCAGUAAAAUUCUACUUGUGUAAAAGGCUAUAAGUAUUUGAUUUUAAAAUAUACUUCAGUAUCAAAAGUGAAUGUAUAACUCAUUUCAAAUUCUUUAUCUUAAGCAAACCAGAAUGCACCAUUUUCUUUUUAUUCUUCUUUUUUAUAGAAGGCCAGGGGCACACUCCAUCACUCAGCCAUCAGUUACAAACAAAUCAUGUCAGUUUAGUGAGUCCGCCAGAUCAGAGGCAGUAGGGAUGACAAGGGAUGUUCAGUUGAUAAGUGUGUGAAUUUUACAAUUUUUCUGUCCUGCUAAGCAUUCAAAAUGUAAUGAGUACUUUCGGGUGUCAAGGAAAAUGUAUGAAGUAAAAAUUACAAUGUUUUCUAAAGGAAUGUAGUGAACUAAAAGUAAAAGAAGACACAAAUAUGAAUAUAGUAUAGAUACCCCAAAAACUACUUAAGUAUUACUUUAAAGUAUUGUUACUUAAGUACUUUACACCACUGUUACUUUAAAAAAUAUGUUUUGUUAAUAUCACAGUUUACUUACAGUAUGUGACUUUACUUCCACCUGUUGAUACACUACCUCAUAUUUCCUCUCUCUGCUUCCUGAUUUUCUGCUACCCUCUUCCUGUAGUCUGUCAACAUCUGUUCCUCUCAGACCAUUUGCAAACCCACAUGAUAAUUGCAAUAAUUCAAUAAUAUUUUAAAUAUACUUUUUGCAAUUGCAAGCGGUUCCUGCCAGUUAGGCCCAACCUAAUCUGGAAUACCCAGAACAAAAUCUUGCAUGAACAUAACUCUCAUAACCUCUGUGCUCCCGACAGACGUAACAUGUUCGUUACAGAUCUUAGGACAGAUAUGCCCACCCAGAUCAGUCUUAUCUACCCCUGCAAUUGGAGCACAUUACAAACCUAUGACAGCUAUAGGUAUGAUAGUGUAUAUGAAAAUGAUGCACCAUCACAGAAGGGUCAUAGGUGGGAGCUAUUGUUUCACCAUAAAAGGAGAGAGGGGAGACACAAAAUACAGUGUGUCACUCUCACACUCACUACUGUGGCAUUGCCUGAGUCAUUAUCUACAGCCAACAGCUCCUGUGUAUAUUUCUAAAAACAUUUUCGAGAGCAGGUGAAGAUAGUCGCCCCAGAAAGCAUUUCUCAUUUCCAUAUAUCCUGUUUCACAUCUCUCUCUGCAUUAUACAUAAUAACAGGUGGCAGGUUUAAAGGACUCUUAACCGUGAUCCAAUGAAUGUGCUGCUGGUGCCUUAUGU